GCAAGUCGAACGGUAACAGAAAAAGCUUGCUUUUUGCUGACGAGUGGCGAACGGGUGCGUAACGCGUAUGCAACCUACCUUCUUCUGAGGAAUAGCCCAGAGAAAUUUGGAUUAAAACCUCAUGAUAAUAUUUAUUCGCAUGUUUAAAUAUUUAAAAUUUCGAUGGAAGAAGAUGGGCAUGCGUAACAUUAGUUUGUUGGUGAGGUAAUGGCUCACCAAGACUACGAUGUUUAGGGGGUCUGAGAGGAUGAUC
rnacentral:rRNA from 1 species